rnacentral:lncRNA from 1 species
AGAGAUUCCUGCUCCCAGCCCAGGCCCAGACGGCAACAGAAGCUCAUGGGGAGUGAAGGGACAGGAUGGAGCGGGAGCGGCGCCAAAGCACGGGGAGAACCAGAGGCCGCAGGAAUGGCAGACUCUGGACAUGCUCCUAGAGAUGGGAGGUCAAAAUGAUCAACGUUCAGGGUCCCUUCAUCUCAGAGGGUCUCGAGUCACCUCAUUUAAAGUGUGGCCUGGGACACCUCCUAUCCAGCCAUACGCCGCCCAGGACUGGCUCAACAGCUCCACCCUCCACUGCUGUUCACCCAUGACACGUCACUUCCCACCCGCCACUGCUGGCUCACCUGUGACACCCCAGGCAGCUCAGAUGCCCGGCAGGUCCUGCUGGUGUGUGUUAGCCGGGGUCUCCAAAGAACCAGAGCCAGCAGGGGACACACCCAUCUCUGUAUCUGGAGAAAAAGAUCGAUGAGAAGGAAUCUGCUCCUGUGAUGAUGGAGGCUGACAAGUCCCGAGAGCCACGUAUUUCCUCAGCUGAGUGCAUGGGGCCAGACCACACUGGGGAGGGCAGUCAGCGUCACUCAGAGCACCGGGUCAUCUCAUGCAGAAACACCCUCAAAGAAAUAGCCCAAAUUAUGCUGACCAAAUAUCUGGGCACCCCGUGCCCCAGACAAGUUGACACAGAAAAUUAACCAUCACAGGUUAACUCCAUCCAGGAGUGGAAUUGCUGGGUCAUAGAGAAGGCAUAGGAAUUCACAGAAAUCACCAAACGGUUUUCAGGCGGUUGUGCCAUGUUAAACUCCCACUGGAAAGAGAGGAGAGCUGUGAUUGUUCCACGUCCUCAGCAACGUUUAGAAUAGGCAGUCUUUGGCCGGGCCGGGCACAGAGGCUCAAACCUGUAACCCCAGCACUUUGGGAGGCCAUAGUGGGUGGAUUACCUGAGAUCAAGAGUUCAAGACCAGCCUGGCCAACAUGGUUAAACCCCGUCUCUAUUAAAAAUGCAAAAAUUAGCCAGGCGUGGUGGUGCGUGCCUGUAAUUCCAGCUACUUGGGGGCUGAGGCAGGAGAAUCGUUUGAACCCAGGAGGCAGAGUUUGCAGCGAGCCGAGAUCGCGCCACUGCACUCCAGCCUGGGCAACAGAAUGAGACUCUGUCUCCAAAAAAAGAAAAAAUAAAUAAAGAAAAGUCAUUCUGUAGUUUUAGCCUUUGUGAAGGCAUGAAGUGGCAUCUCAUUAUGGUUUAAAUGCUUAUUUCGCUGGUGACUAAUGAGGCUGACCAGUUUUUCACUGCAUUUAGCCCUUUCAAUGCACUUCAGGUCUGUGAAGUACUUGUUCAAGUGUAUUGCCCAUUUUAAAAAUUGGUUUGUUUAUCUUUUUCUUAUCAAUUUGUAGGAGUUCUUGAUAUAUUCUGGGCAGAAGGCCUUGGUGUAGAAUCUAUUAAGACACACCGAGGCGAACGGUACAUUUGUCUGCAACUUACCUUUUGACUCUCUUGAUGGUGUCUCAAAGUUGUUGAUUUUAAGGAAGCCCAGUCUUUUAUGUCGAGUCCCUUUGUGUUCUAUGUUAGAAAUCUUUGCUGACCACAGUGUCUUCUUCUUUUUCUUUUGAGACGGAGUCUCGCUUUGUCGCCCAGGCUGGAGUGCAGUGGCGCCAUUUCAGCUCACUGCAACCUCCGCCUCCCAGGUUCAGGUGAUUCUCCUGCCUCAGCCUCCCGAGUAGCUGGGAUUACAGGCAUGCGCCACCAUACCCAGCUAAUUUUUAUAUUUUUAGUAGAGACAGGGUUUCACCAUGUUGGCCAGGCUGGUCUCAAACUCCUGACCUCAGGUGAUCCGCCCACCUCGGCCUCCCAAAGUGCUGGGAUGACAGGUGUGAGCCACUGUGCCUGGCCUGACCACAGUGUCUUGAAGAGAUUUUGCUAUGUUUUAUUCUAGAAGCUUUGGGGCUUAUUUUUCACACUUUGUUCUAUGACUUAUUUCAUUUAUUAGUAUUAUUUUUUGAGACAGAGUCUCCCUCUGUCACCCAGGCUGGAGUGCGGUGGUGCAAUUUCAGCUCACUGCACCCUCUGCCUCCUGGGUUCAAACAAUUCUUGUGCUUCAGCCUCCCGAGUAGCUGGGAUUACAGGAGUGUGCCACCACGCCCGGCUAAGUUAUGUAUUUUUAGUAGAGACAGGGUGUCACCAUGUUGGCCAGGCUGGUCUUGAACUCCUGGCCUGAAGUGAUCCGCCCGCCUCAGCCUCCCAAAGUGCUGGGAUUACAGGUGUGAGCCACCGUGCCCAGCCUGCUCUGUGACUCAUUUUAAAUUAAUUGUGGGGAUGGGGUCACUUUUUUCUGUCAGUGUCCAACUGAUACUGGACACGUGGCAGGGAAAGGCCACCUCUUCCCCCUGCUCUGCAGGGGCCUUUGUUAUAAAUCGGCGUGGGGAAGGGGCCGCUUUCUGGACCCGCCCUUGGGUCCAGGGUCUCUUUGCUUAUUCCUGCGCCAAUCAUGCAGGCCCCAUACCGCUGUCAGCGCACGGGCUGGCUUCAGCAGAGGAGGCUCAGGGCCGGGCUGUGGGGCCUGGAGAGCUCAUCUUGGUCUCUUGGGCCCCUAGGUCGGCUUGCUUGUCCUGACCAUGGAGCACAGCUUCCUUGACAGCAGCCUCUGCAGUCAUCCCAGGCCGACAGGCAGGCCUCGGCGCUCCAGACAGGGGCCCAGCCCGGGGCCAGUCUCCAAGUACCCUGUGGAUGAGGAAGGAAGCAGCUCUCAGGGAAGGGGCACCCCAUGGGUCAGCUGGCCGCCUGGUUCAGUCACCACAUGGGCACACAGGGCCAGCAUGGGUGCACAGGAGCUGGGACACGCCAAGCGCUGGCGCCUGCGUUGUUG